UGGGGAAUAUUGGGCAAUGGGCGCAAGCCCGACCCAGCAACGCCGCGUGAAGGAAGAAGGCUUUCGGGUUGUAAACUUCUUUUCUCAGGGACGAAGAAAGUGACGGUACCUGAGGAAUAAGCCACGGCUAACUACGUGCC
rnacentral:rRNA from 1 species